UGGGGAAUAUUGCACAAUGGGGGAAACCCUGAUGCAGCAACGCCGCGUGAAGGAAGACGGUUUUCGGAUUGUAAACUUCUGUUCUUAGUGAAGAAUAAUGACGGUAGCUAAGGAGCAAGCCACGGCUAACUACGCGCCAGCAGCCGCGGUAAUACGUAGGUGGCAAGCGUUGUCCGGAAUUACUGGGUGUAAAGGGAGCGCAGGCGGGAGACCAAGUCAGCUGUGAAAACUACGGGCUUAACCUGUAGACUGCAGUUGAAACUGGUUUCUUGAGUGAAGUAGAGGUUGGCGGAAUUCCGAGUGUAGCGGUGAAAUGCGUAGAUAUUCGGAGGAACACCGGUGGCGAAGGCGGCCAACUGGGCUUUAACUGACGCUGAGGCUCGAAAGCGUGGGGAGCAAACAGGAUUAGAUACC
rnacentral:rRNA from 1 species